rnacentral:lncRNA from 1 species
UUUUUUCCAAGAUUUUGUUUCGGACAAACUUCAAGUACUCCUUUAAAGGUAUUAAGCAAGCAAAAUAAAACGAAACCCCUACCCUUGGGAAAUUCUUUCUUAAUCAACCAACCACUCCAACAACAUGAUAAUCCGUCUGCCUCAGCAAAGUACUCCACGGAAGUAGACCGGAAGGGGAGCAAGGAUGGUGAGAUUCACGAUGAACAGAAGAAACACCCAAUUACUCCAGGGUUUUCUUCACUUGUGACACCUCGG